CUUUAUCCCUUACAAUCACAUGCUAUUCCAAGAAGACCAUAGAGAAGGGAGUGCUCUGUGUGGCACUCUCACUAGAGACAAGAAACUCAUUUCCUUAUUUCUGUGUAACGUCUCACUCACAUCUCUUAAGAAGGAGUCAGCCAAGUCAACAAUAUAAUAAAACCCAAUUGGAACUGUGGACCCAGUGCUGCCAGGACUCUCUUUCAGUCUCUUUUGUUUUUAUAUAUUUUUCUGCAUAUGGGCCUCAUCCUCUCUCAUUAAAUGCUACAGGCUCCAUGUGCCAGAUGUUCUCAGCCCAGGUCCUGGAUGUGGCUUCGGUUCUGCCUGUGCUCUCUUGUGAGACUUGGAAGCUAGAAGUGAGUCAGCAAGUCCCGGGGUAAGAAAGAAGAUCAGAAUAAGAAGCAACCAACCACAUCCCUCCUUCCCACUAGAGGCUUCCAGGCAGAAACAGGCUGAUACAGGGAGAGGAGGAGAAGACGCAUGACUAAGUCACAUUUUGAUAUCUGUUUAAUAACAAUUCUAAUCUCAUGUUCUCACUUAUUUGUGAGAUCUAAAAAUCAAACAGUUGAACUCAUGGAGAUAGAGAGUAGAAGAAUGGUUACCAGAGG